rnacentral:rRNA from 1 species
UACGUAGGGUGCAAGCGUUUAAUCGGAAUACUGGGCGUAAAGCGUGCGCAGGCGGUUGUGCAAGACAGAUGUGAAAUCCCCGGGCUCAACCUGGGAAUUGCAUUUGUGACUGCACGGGCUAGAGUGUGUCAGAGGGGGGUAGAAUUCCACGUGUAGCAGUGAAAUGCGUAGAGAUGUGGAGGAAUACCGAUGGCGAAGGCAGCCCCCUGGGAUAACACUGACGCUCAUGCACGAAAGCGUGGGGAGCAACAGG